rnacentral:rRNA from 1 species
UACAGAGGGUGCGAGCGUUAAUCGGAGUUACUGGGCGUAAAGGGCGCGUAGGCGGUUAUAUAAGUGAGAUGUGAAAUCCCUGGGCUUAACCUAGGAACUGCAUCUCAUACUGUAUGACUGGAGUAUUGUAGAGGGUAGUGGAAUUUCCGGUGUAGCGGUGAAAUGCGUAGAGAUCGGAAGGAACACCAGUGGCGAAGGCGGCUACCUGGACAAAUACUGACGCUGAGGCGCGAGAGCGUGGGGAG